rnacentral:rRNA from 1 species
GAUGAACGCUGGCGGCGUGCCUAAUACAUGCAAGUCGAGCGAAUGGAUUGAGAGCUUGCUCUUAUGAAGUUAGCGGCGGACGGGUGAGUAACACGUGGGUAACCUGCCCAUAAGACUGGGAUAACUCCGGGAAACCGGGGCUAAUACCGGAUAACAUUUUGAACCGCAUGGUUCGAAAUUGAAAGGCGGCUUCGGCUGUCACUUAUGGAUGGACCCGCGUCGCAUUAGCUAGUUGGUGAGGUAACGGCUCACCAAGGCAACGAUGCGUAGCCGACCUGAGAGGGUGAUCGGCCACACUGGGACUGAGACACGGCCCAGACUCCUACGGGAGGCAGCAGUAGGGAAUCUUCCGCAAUGGACGGAAGUCUGACGGGGCAACGCCGCGUGAGUGAUGAAGGCUUUCGGGUCGUAAAACUCUGUUGUUAGGGAAGAACAAGUGCUAGUUGAAUAAGCUGGCACCUUGACGGUACCUAACCAGAAAGCCACGGCUAACUACGUGCCAGCAGCCGCCGUAA